GGGUUGUGAGGUUAAGCGACUAAGCGUACACGGUGGAUGCCCUGGCAGUCAGAGGCGAUGAAGGACGUGCUAAUCUGCGAUAAGCGUCGGUAAGGUGAUAUGAACCGUUAUAACCGGCGAUUUCCGAAUGGGGAAACCCAGUGUGAUUCGUCACACUAUCAUUAACUGAAUCCAUAGGUUAAUGAGGCGAACCGGGGGAACUGAAACAUCUAAGUACCCCGAGGAAAAGAAAUCAACCGAGAUUCCCCCAGUAGCGGCGAGCGAACGGGGAGCAGCCCAGAGCCUGAAUCAGUGUGUGUGUUAGUGGAAGCGUCUGGAAAGGCGCGCGAUACAGGGUGACAGCCCCGUACACAAAAAUGCACAUGCUGUGAGCUCGAUGAGUAGGGCGGGACACGUGGUAUCCUGUCUGAAUAUGGGGGGACCAUCCUCCAAGGCUAAAUACUCCUGACUGACCGAUAGUGAACCAGUACCGUGAGGGAAAGGCGAAAAGAACCCCGGCGAGGGGAGUGAAAAAGAACCUGAAACCGUGUACGUACAAGCAGUGGGAGCACGCUUAGGCGUGUGACUGCGUACCUUUUGUAUAAUGGGUCAGCGACUUAUAUUCUGUAGCAAGGUUAACCGAAUAGGGGAGCCGAAGGGAAACCGAGUCUUAACUGGGCGUUAAGUUGCAGGGUAUAGACCCGAAACCCGGUGAUCUAGCCAUGGGCAGGUUGAAGGUUGGGUAACACUAACUGGAGGACCGAACCGACUAAUGUUGAAAAAUUAGCGGAUGACUUGUGGCUGGGGGUGAAAGGCCAAUCAAACCGGGAGAUAGCUGGUUCUCCCCGAAAGCUAUUUAGGUAGCGCCUCGUGAAUUCAUCUCCGGGGGUAGAGCACUGUUUCGGCAAGGGGGUCAUCCCGACUUACCAACCCGAUGCAAACUGCGAAUACCGGAGAAUGUUAUCACGGGAGACACACGGCGGGUGCUAACGUCCGUCGUGAAGAGGGAAACAACCCAGACCGCCAGCUAAGGUCCCAAAGUCAUGGUUAAGUGGGAAACGAUGUGGGAAGGCCCAGACAGCCAGGAUGUUGGCUUAGAAGCAGCCAUCAUUUAAAGAAAGCGUAAUAGCUCACUGGUCGAGUCGGCCUGCGCGGAAGAUGUAACGGGGCUAAACCAUNNNNNNNNNNNNNNNNNNNNNNNNNNNNNNNNNNNNNNNNNNNNNNNNNNNNNNNNNNNNNNNNNNNNNNNNNNNNNNNNNNNNNNNNNNNNNNNNNNNNNNNNNNNNNNNNNNNNNNNNNNNNNNNNNNNNNNNNNNNNNNNNNNNAUGCUGGAGGUAUCAGAAGUGCGAAUGCUGACAUAAGUAACGAUAAAGCGGGUGAAAAGCCCGCUCGCCGGAAGACCAAGGGUUCCUGUCCAACGUUAAUCGGGGCAGGGUGAGUCGACCCCUAAGGCGAGGCCGAAAGGCGUAGUCGAUGGGAAACAGGUUAAUAUUCCUGUACUUGGUGUUACUGCGAAGGGGGGACGGAGAAGGCUAUGUUGGCCGGGCGACGGUUGUCCCGGUUUAAGCGUGUAGGCUGGUUUUCCAGGCAAAUCCGGAAAAUCAAGGCUGAGGCGUGAUGACGAGGCACUACGGUGCUGAAGCAACAAAUGCCCUGCUUCCAGGAAAAGCCUCUAAGCAUCAGGUAACAUCAAAUCGUACCCCAAACCGACACAGGUGGUCAGGUAGAGAAUACCAAGGCGCUUGAGAGAACUCGGGUGAAGGAACUAGGCAAAAUGGUGCCGUAACUUCGGGAGAAGGCACGCUGAUAUGUAGGUGAAGUCCCUCGCGGAUGGAGCUGAAAUCAGUCGAAGAUACCAGCUGGCUGCAACUGUUUAUUAAAAACACAGCACUGUGCAAACACGAAAGUGGACGUAUACGGUGUGACGCCUGCCCGGUGCCGGAAGGUUAAUUGAUGGGGUCAGCGCAAGCGAAGCUCUUGAUCGAAGCCCCGGUAAACGGCGGCCGUAACUAUAACGGUCCUAAGGUAGCGAAAUUCCUUGUCGGGUAAGUUCCGACCUGCACGAAUGGCGUAAUGAUGGCCAGGCUGUCUCCACCCGAGACUCAGUGAAAUUGAACUCGCUGUGAAGAUGCAGUGUACCCGCGGCAAGACGGAAAGACCCCGUGAACCUUUACUAUAGCUUGACACUGAACAUUGAGCCUUGAUGUGUAGGAUAGGUGGGAGGCUUUGAAGUGUGGACGCCAGUCUGCAUGGAGCCGACCUUGAAAUACCACCCUUUAAUGUUUGAUGUUCUAACGUGGACCCGUGAUCCGGGUUGCGGACAGUGUCUGGUGGGUAGUUUGACUGGGGCGGUCUCCUCCUAAAGAGUAACGGAGGAGCACGAAGGUUGGCUAAUCCUGGUCGGACAUCAGGAGGUUAGUGCAAUGGCAUAAGCCAGCUUGACUGCGAGCGUGACGGCGCGAGCAGGUGCGAAAGCAGGUCAUAGUGAUCCGGUGGUUCUGAAUGGAAGGGCCAUCGCUCAACGGAUAAAAGGUACUCCGGGGAUAACAGGCUGAUACCGCCCAAGAGUUCAUAUCGACGGCGGUGUUUGGCACCUCGAUGUCGGCUCAUCACAUCCUGGGGCUGAAGUAGGUCCCAAGGGUAUGGCUGUUCGCCAUUUAAAGUGGUACGCGAGCUGGGUUUAGAACGUCGUGAGACAGUUCGGUCCCUAUCUGCCGUGGGCGCUGGAGAACUGAGGGGGGCUGCUCCUAGUACGAGAGGACCGGAGUGGACGCAUCACUGGUGUUCGGGUUGUCAUGCCAAUGGCACUGCCCGGUAGCUAAAUGCGGAAGAGAUAAGUGCUGAAAGCAUCUAAGCACGAAACUUGCCCCGAGAUGAGUUCUCCCUGACUCCUUGAGAGUCCUGAAGGAACGUUGAAGACGACGACGUUGAUAGGCCGGGUGUGUAAGCGCAGCGAUGCGUUGAGCUAACCGGUACUAAUGAACCGUGAGGCUUAACCUUACAACGCCGAAGCUGUU
rnacentral:rRNA from 1 species